rnacentral:rRNA from 1 species
UACGUAGGGUGCGAGCGUUUGUCCGGAAUUAUUGGGCGUAAAGAGCUCGUAGGCGGUCUGUCGCGUCGAUCGUGAAAACUUGGGGCUUAACCCUGAGCUUGCGGUCGAUACGGGCAUGACUGGAGUUCGGCAGGGGAGACUGGAUUCCUGGUGUAGCGGUGAAAUGCGCAGAUAUCAGGAGGAACACCGGUGGCGAAGGCGGAUCUCUGGGGCCUUACCUGACGCUGAGGCGCGAAAGCGUGGGGAGCAAACAGG